GCUCAUCUCUGAGAUCUCCUUCUACUCUGAGCCGUAUGGGGAGGGUGUCGACCCUAUGGACACGGGCUCUGCUCUUCCUGCUCCUCCGGUCUCCUCCGCUACUCCUCCUCCUCCUGUCUUCCCCUCCUCUGUCAGCCCCGCCCUCAACCACAACUUCACUAGCGUUCCCUCAGAACCCCCCACCACCAACCCCAUGAUGGACACGCACAGUCA